GAGCGAGGAUGAGGAGGGGCGGUCGAUGGCUGCUCAGCCUCCCUGAUCCCGCCAGUGCUUCCCCGGCAUCCAUGGACCGACUGCUUCUCGUGAUGGCGGUGGCCUGCGUGGCGGCCGGCGCCGCGCCACGAUUACGCGCCGUCGAUCCUGAGGAGCCGGACGCACUUCUCAAGUUCGCGCUUACCGAGCUCCAGCGGGCUAAGGUUGAGAACCACGAGAUGGACGACUGUCACGGGCUCGAGGUCGCCUCCAUUGACUCCCACGACGAGAAGGUCGAAAACGGCAUUAAGCACCACCUGAAGCUUAAAGUCCAGCCAACACUUAUAGGGACAGCGGCUUGCAGCCAACGGAACGCCAACGUGGUGGUCAACGUUCGCCCACAACCUGAAGUUUGCGAGGCCGAGGUCUGGGAAAACCAAGACGAAGACGGACGUCACCAGAUGGCACUGCUCCGCUCGAGCUGCCUGCAGUCGAGGAGCUGCGCAACUGACUUCGAAUCUACUCUCGUUAGUUUUAACAGCACCACUGUUGAGUAUCUGUACAAUAGAUACGAAUUGGGAAUAUGCCUCUGUACAAGAAGUUUAAAUAGGAGGAACAAAAGCAGAAAAUACCGUAAUAUACCAGACGAGUCAGCACAUCUUACAACAGGCAACUUGGUGUGGCUGCUGGGAAAAAUAGAAGAGGGAACAAAAGGGCGAAAGGGAUUGCUGUUUAAUUUCGCAGUAUUUAUCCGAUGAUAACGCGAGUUCAAUCAAACCAGCGCCAUACCUUAUAGGUCCAUAGCUAAAAACCCUGUACUGCAAUGUAUAACGCGUGCUUCUAUUUGAAACAAACAGCCAAUGGACAGGACUGAUCACUGUUACGUUCUUCUCCGCCACGGUGCGUAUUAUGUAUUUUGCGCCCAUAUUUUCAGAUGUGGCAAAUAGCGUACCACAGGUUCUUAAAAUAAGCGAGAAAUGAAACCUUCAGACGUAACCCUCGCAAACAGAAAUUUCGCAGUGAAGUAUGUUAUCGGGCCGUGAUCCAGAGCUGGCAUUCCGAACAGUGUGAAGCUCAAACGCUGAGGCCCCGGCGUUUCUCACGAGCUGGAGUCUAUCCGUGCCUGUUGAAGAGAUGAGUGCUUCUAACUUUGCGUUUCGUGAUGUUUGCUUAAAGGAUGAACACCUGAAAGAUUUUGCGGGUAGCGGUUCAUGCCGCGGCGGUUAUCAUCCAUAGCUAUAUGCCGGCAAAAGCUGAAGAGAAACUAAUGCAUGCACCGAGACACUUCGAGGUAGCAUAUGCUAGCAUUGCUUCUUCAUUAUAGUUCCUGCGUACUGACGGCCAGUCAAAUUUUUCCUCCUCCUACACACAGUGUCGCUGUAAAAUCGCAAGAAGGAAUGGGAUACUGAUACAAAUGAAGAAGUUUAAAGGACACCUAAACCACACAGAAGUCGAAAUUUAGUUCUGGUGUUCCUGUUGUGCAUGAUUUGACAACGAACACAUAGUCGCUAGAAUUUUUUGAAAUGGCGCCGUAACAGUGGAGUUACACAAGUCUAGCGAUUGAAAUGUGGCCCUCGCUUGUUUCGCUCUUUCCUUCGCGGCGCCUCCUUCGUCGGCUGGUCUCUCCUGCUCGCUAGGGUGCUCCCUCUCGCUAUGCGUCGAUGAACAGCAGGUAGCGCUCCUACCUGCUAGCAGAGAAACAGGUUCGACGAAUCGACAGCGGCUUCUCCAUGUGACAUCACCUAAUCGUCCUGGUGACGUCACUACCAACGCUAGGCAUCCCGGAAAGGCCCGGAGAGAAGUACGGGAUUGCUUUGUUUUUGUGGCUCGCUCGACACAAACUUCGUCUACACAAGCAGUUUUUCAAAAGCAAAUAAUAUUCAAUACUAUAUUUCCUCUUGAUUCUUGUUUUUUAUGGUAGGCUGUUGGGCCAGCUUUACAUAGCAAGAUAUUUUCUCCUAUGGACCUUUCAAGAAAUUGGCGCACACCUCCAGCGGCGGCCGCAAGGCAGUAUGAGAAGCCGGGCCAUGCUCCGGCCGCCGGCGGUCUCCAAAGAUUCAUCUGCUUGUAUUGCCUGCAUUGAGAAAGCGUGCGGUCAGUGAGCGCAUCGUUGCACGACUAGUGGUUUUGAGAACCCGACGUAGAGAGAAAACAGACACAGCCUGUGUCUUUCACUCAUGCUAACCAACUCGCCCGCAAACGUGUUUUAGCCGUUAUCUGCCUUUCUUCAAAGAGCAGAUGUAGCGUAGAUGACAGCCAUGCAUAUUUGGUCCCUUAAUUGCGUGCACUAGCAAAAACACUUAUUGGAUAAGAAGGGGUAGAAAGGGUGUAUGUAGUGAGCAGUAUGGGUGACUUGCGCUUGGCCGGUCGUUUUAUAUGCGCAGUAGCUUUUCAUUUACUUGACAUCGUUAUAAGGCUGCGUUUUAAAUCCCGUAAUAUUUCGCAAGCAUGAUACAAGUACCUUCUUUAUAUUCUUAUCGCCUUUUCGUGGCACACAAAAAACCAGAAAUUAAGAACUCUCGCUCACUUUCGGGCACUUUCUUAGCUAUACUCGGACAGGACGAUUCACAAAUACUCUGUUCAUCAUGGAGAUACUCGUAAAGUAAAAUUACGCAGAACCAAUCGCGGGAAUGUCAAGACAUAAACUUCCAGAGUUACUAGACUUGUGUAACAUAUAUUUACACCGCAAAGGUCGUCCGGAAAACAGUUGUUUCUUUUCCAAAUUUCUGAAUGUCGUUUUCGUUUCAGUAGUUUUGUAAAUUAGUCUUCAGUCAUGUUCUGAUGCCAUAUAUGAUACCAUAUCUGAAAGUAUUUAAGAAUAAUUGCUUCGUCCAUAAGCCUGCUACAUCUUACUCUUUUUUCAACUGGGAAGUUCAAACACUGCGUUCUGUAUUUAUGAGUCUGUUUUAUGAGUAAUGUAAGUAAUAGGGUACGUGCAGUUUCGAGCCAUUAGAGCCAUAGUGUAAUUAUUUCUCCGCGAACGUCUUUCUGUACGUACCGUAUUCUUCUUUAUUUCCAAUAAAAUAUAUUGCAUUGUUGUUGAUAAU
rnacentral:misc_RNA from 1 species